GUCAUAUGCUUGUCUCAAAGAUUAAGCCAUGCAUGUCUCAGUACAAGCCAAAUUAAGGUGAAACCGCGAAAGGCUCAUUAAAUCAGUUAUGGUUCCUUAGGUCGUACCCACAAUUACUUGGAUAACUGUGGUAAUUCUAGAGCUAAUACAUGCAAACAGAGCUCCGACCGGAGACGGAAGGAGUGCUUUUAUUAGAUCAAAACCAAUCGGUGGCGGGUUCGCUCGUCAUCGUACAACUUGGUGACUCUGAAUAACUUUACGCUGAUCGCACGGUCAUCGCACCGGCGACGCAUCUUUCAAAUGUCUGCCUUAUCAACUGUCGAUGGUAGGUUCUGCGCCUACCAUGGUUGUAACGGGUAACGGGGAAUCAGGGUUCGAUUCCGGAGAGGGAGCCUGAGAAACGGCUACCACAUCCAAGGAAGGCAGCAGGCGCGCAAAUUACCCACUCCCGGCACGGGGAGGUAGUGACGAAAAAUAACGAUACGGGACUCAUCCGAGGCCCCGUAAUCGGAAUGAGUACACUCUAAACCCAUUAACGAGGAUCAAUUGGAGGGCAAGUCUGGUGCCAGCAGCCGCGG
rnacentral:rRNA from 1 species